UACGUAGGGGCAAGCGUUGUCCGGAAUCAUUGGGCGUAAAGAGCGUGUAGGCGGCCCGAUAAGUCCGCCGUGAAAGUCCAGGGCUCAACCCUGGAAUGCCGGUGGAAACUGUCGGGCUGGAGUCCGGAAGAGGCGAGUGGAAUUCCGUGGUGAUCAGCGGUGAAAUGCGCAGAUAUCAGGAGGAACACCAAUGGCGAAGGCAGCUCGCUGGGACGGUACUGACGCUG
rnacentral:rRNA from 1 species